rnacentral:rRNA from 1 species
GUUUGAUUAUGGCUCAGAACGAGCGCUGGUGGCGUGCUUAUACAUGCAAGUCGAGCGAGGCAGCAAUGCCGAGCGGCGAACGGGUGAGUAACGCGUAAGCAAUCUGCCCCAUAUCAGGAAAUACCCGUGCCAACGCGCGGUUAAUGUCCAGGAGAGUGGCCCUCUGCAUGGAGGGUUGACUAGAGAUUUAUCGGUAUGGGAUGAGCUUGCGUCCGAUUAGCUAGUUGGCGGGCAACGGCCCACCAAGGCGACGAUCGGUAGCCGGCCUGAGAGGGUGAUCGGCCACAUUGGGACUGAGAUACGGCCCAGACUCCUACGGGAGGCAGCAGUAGGGAAUAUUGCACAAUGGGGGAAACCCUGAUGCAGCAACGCCACGUGUGGGAAGAAAGCAUUUCGGUGUGUAAACCACUGUCAUGAGGAAUAAGGCUGUCUCGGCCAGACCUUGAUGCCUUGAGAGGAAGCACCGGCAAACUUCGUGCCAGCCGCUGC